rnacentral:rRNA from 1 species
AGAGUUUGAUCCUGGCUCAGGAUGAACGCUGGCGGCGUGCUUAACACAUGCAAGUCGAACGAACCUUCGGGUUAGUGGCGGACGGGUGAGUAACGCGUGAGAAUCUGCCCUCAGGAGGGGGAUAACGGCUGGAAACGGCCGCUAAUACCCCAUAUGCCGCGAGGUGAAAUGAAUUUCGCCUGAGGAUGAGCUCGCGUCUGAUUAGCUAGUUGGUGGGGUAAAGGCCUACCAAGGCAUCGAUCAGUAGCUGGUCUGAGAGGAUGAUCAGCCACACUGGGACUGAGACACGGCCCAGACUCCUACGGGAGGCAGCAGUGGGGAAUUUUCCGCAAUGGGCGAAAGCCUGACGGAGCAACGCCGCGUGAGGGAUGAAGGCCUCUGGGCUGUAAACCUCUUUUAUCAAGGAAGAAGAUCUGACGGUACUUGAUGAAUAAGCCACGGCUAAUUCCGUGCCAGCAGCCGCGGUAAUACGGGAGUGGCAAGCGUUAUCCGGAAUUAUUGGGCGUAAAGCGUCCGCAGGCGGUCUUGUAAGUCUGUUGUUAAAGCGUGGAGCUUAACUCCAUUUCAGCAAUGGAAACUGUAAGACUAGAGUGUGGUAGGGGCAGAGGGAAUUCCCGGUGUAGCGGUGAAAUGCGUAGAUAUCGGGAAGAACACCAGUGGCGAAGGCGCUCUGCUGGGCCAUAACUGACGCUCAUGGACGAAAGCCAGGGGAGCGAAAGGGAUUAGAUACCCCUGUAGUCCUGGCCGUAAACGAUGAACACUAGGUGUCGGGGGAAUCGACCCCCUCGGUGUCGUAGCCAACGCGUUAAGUGUUCCGCCUGGGGAGUACGCACGCAAGUGUGAAACUCAAAGGAAUUGACGGGGGCCCGCACAAGCGGUGGAGUAUGUGGUUUAAUUCGAUGCAACGCGAAGAACCUUACCAGGGUUUGACAUCCUGCGAAUCUUUUGGAAACAGAAGAGUGCCUUCGGGAACGCAGUGACAGGUGGUGCACGGCUGUCGUCAGCUCGUGUCGUGAGAUGUUGGGUUAAGUCCCGCAACGAGCGCAACCCACGUCGUUAGUUGCCAGCAUUUAGUUGGGCACUCUAGCGAGACCGCCGGUGAUAAACCGGAGGAAGGUGUGGAUGACGUCAAGUCAUCAUGCCCCUUACAUCCUGGGCUACACACGUACUACAAUGCUACGGACAAAGGGCAGCAAACUCGCGAGAGCUAGCAAAUCCCAUAAACCGUGGCUCAGUUCAGAUCGUAGGCUGCAACUCGCCUACGUGAAGGAGGAAUCGCUAGUAAUCGCAGGUCAGCAUACUGCGGUGAAUACGUUCCCGGGCCUUGUACACACCGCCCGUCACACCAUGGAAGUUGGCCACGCCCGAAGCCGUUACUCCAACCCUUGUGGAGGAGGAUGUCGAAGGUGGGGCUGAUGACUGGGGUGAAGUCGUAACAAGGUAACC